ACAAGUUGACAAGAGCAUCGGGUGGAUGCCUUGGCGUCGGAAGGCGAUGAAAGACGUGGUAAGCUGCGAAAAGCCUCGGGGAGAAGCUAAACAUUCUGUGAUCCGGGGAUUUCUGAAUGGGGAAACCCGGCGGAGGUCAUGCUCCGUCGCGGGCACUUGAAUACAUAAAGUGUCCAGCGCCAACUCAGGGAAGUGAAACAUCUCAGUACCUGAAGGAAAAGAAAUCAAACGAGACUCCCAAAGUAGCGGCGAGCGAAAUGGGAUGAGCCCAAACCGGCUGGAUUCGUUCAGCCGGGGUUGUAGGGCCGGCAUAUGUGAUUCAUGAGUAGGCAGGGGAAAUGAGCUGGAAAGCUCUGCCAGAGCGGGUGACAGCCCCGUACCUGAAACCGAAAGCGACACAGCCGGUACCUGAGUACCGCGAGACACGUGGAACCUCGUGGGAAUCCGGGAGGACCAUCUUCCAAGGCUAAGUACUAACCGACGACCGAUAGUGUACCAGUACCGUGAGGGAAAGGUGAAAAGAACCUCUGUUAGAGGAGUGAAAUAGAAUCUGAAACCUGGUGCUUACAAGCUGUGAGAGCGGACUUGUUCCGUGAUCACGUGCCUUUUGCAUAAUGAGUCAGCGAGUUAAUCUGUACUGCAAGGUUAAGCGCAAGUGGAGCCGUAGGGAAACCGAGUCUGACAAGGGCGAUGAGUAGUGCGGAUUAGACCCGAAACCGGGUGAUCUAUCCAUGAGCAGGUUGAAGCAAGGGUAAAACCUUGUGGAGGACCGAACCAAUACCGGCUGAAAACGGUUUGGAUGACUUGUGGAUAGGGGUGAAAGGCCAAUCAAACCCGGUGAUAGCUGGUUCUCCCCGAAAUAUAUUGAGGUAUAGCCUCAUGGAUUGUCUACCGGAGGUAAAGCACUGACAGGGCUAGGGGUCCUACCAGAUUACCAAACCCUAUCAAACUCAGAAUGCCGGUCAGAUGUACCAUGGGAGUCAGACGGCGGGUGCUAAGGUCCGUCGUCGAGAGGGUAAGAGCCCAGAUCAACAGCUAAGGUCUCCAAAUCUAUGCUCAGUGGUUAAGGUGGUGACGUUGUAGAGACACCCAGGACGUUGGCUUAGAAGCAGCCAUCGUUUAAAGAAAGCGUAAUAGCUCACUGGUCUAAUGACGUUGCGCCGAAAAUGUAACGGGGCUAAGCAUAGUACCGAAGCUUUGAAUUCCGCGAAUGCGGUCUGGUAGGGGAGCGUUCUUCACGGGCUGAAGGUGUGUCGUAAGGCAUGCUGGACUGUGGAGAAGUGAUUAUGCUGACAUGAGUAACGAUAAAACGGGUGAAAAACCCGUUCGCCGUAAACCCAAGGUUUUCCGGGUAAAGGUAAUCUUCCCGGAGUUAGUCGGCCCCUAAGGCGAGGCUGAAAGGCGUAGCUGAUGGGAAACGUGUUAAUAUUCACGUACUUGUGUGUUCGCGCGAUGAAGGGACGCAGGAAGAUAGGCAAGCCGGGCGCUGGUUGUCCCGGUGCAAGCGUGUAGGGAUGAGAAAUUGGCAAAUCCGUUUCUCUCUAUCCUGAGACGCGAGUCCGUGACCGAAAGGUCUGAAGUUGUUGAGUCUAUGCUGCCUAGAAAAGCUUCUAAGUAUAGGACACGCAAACCGUACCGGAAACCAACUCAGGUGGGUGGGAUGAAUAAUCCAAGGCGCUCGAGAGAACUCUGGCCAAGGAACUCGGCAAAAUAACCCCGUACCUUCGGAAGAAGGGGUGCUUUUUAGGGUGAAGCGAUUCACUCUGUCGAGCCCUGAAAAGCCGCAGAGAAAUGGUGGUGGCGACUGUUUACUAAAAACAUAGGUCUGUGCCAAGUCGUAUAGACGACGUAUACGGACUGACGCCUGCCCGGUGCUGGAAGGUUAAAAGGAGGAGUCAGCGCAAGCGAAGCUCCGAAUUGAAGCCCCAGUAAACGGCGGCCGUAACUAUAACGGUCCUAAGGUAGCGAAAUUCCUUGUCGGGUA
rnacentral:rRNA from 1 species